UACGGGGGGAGCAAGCGUUGUUCGGAUUUACUGGGCGUAAAGGGCGCGUAGGCGGCGUAACAAGUCACUUGUGAAAUCUCCGGGCUUAACCCGGAGCGGCCAAGUGAUACUGUUGUGCUAGAGUGCAGAAGGGGCAAUCGGAAUUCUUGGUGUAGCGGUGAAAUGCGUAGAUAUCAAGAGGAACACCUGAGGUGAAGACGGGUUGCUGGGCUGACACUGACGCUGAUGCGCGAAAGCCAGGGGAGCAAACGGG
rnacentral:rRNA from 1 species